rnacentral:rRNA from 1 species
GACAGAGGGUGCAAACGUUGUUCGGAAUUACUGGGCGUAAAGCGCGUGUAGGUGGCCCGGCAAGUCGGAUGUGAAAGCCCUCGGCUCAACUGGGGAAGUGCAUCCGAAACUACCGGGCUCGAGUGUCGGAGAGGGAAGUGGAAUUCCCGGUGUAGAGGUGAAAUUCGUAGAUAUCGGGAGGGACACCAGUGGCGAAGGCGGCUUCCUGGACGAACACUGACACUGAGACGCGAAAGCGUGGGUAGCAAACAGG